CCCUCGCCUGCGCACUUUUGCAAACUGGCUGGAGGACCGGUCGUGCUGAAAGCAAACCAGCAAUACUUUACGUUGCCCUCCUAAAUGUUGCUGAAGGCCCAGCGGUUCCAGCAGGAGAGGAAGAGGAAAGAACCGCGGAGAGAGGAAAACGAGUGUGCAGAAAUUUGGAGGCUGUUCCACAGGCCAUCAAUCCUUGCCACCCACUAAGCAACUGUUUUAUGGAUUACUGGGCUAUGAAACAGAAUUUGAAGCAGAAGGACCCCACUGAAUUGUUCAAUCCUCAGAUUACGAAAGAGAAGCCAAAUUAUAUGAUAUUUAUGGAUAAUGAAGCCAAAGCUACUGCCCAGCCAUGUCCAAGAUGUAUUGCUGGUGAACCUGGACACUUUGGUCAUAUGAUGGGUUUAUAGAAGAUCAAAGGACAUUGAUGCAGUAGUCCUUCAAAAAAAUAUGCAUGAGAAGUUUGAGCUCCCAAUACUUUCUCCGCUUCUCUUAAAAACUCUUAUAGGUGUAAAAAGAAGUAAAUAAGGGAUUAUAUUUUUUUAAGUAUUUUCAGUAGAAUCCCAUGUUGGUUUGCUAUUUAAUAUUUUAUAUUACCUGUUAUUUAGGGGAAAAAAGUUCUAAAUACUCCUAAUAUGCACAUGUCCAUAUCAUGUACUAUUAUAGGCAUAUUUUCCUGAAUGUAGGCGGUUAAUUGCAUUAUUUUCAUUUUGCACCUCUUGCAUUGAACACCCAAAAUGUGUGUUUGUUUCUAUAUGAAUCUUAAUAGCAAUGGUCAACACUAAACAUCUGUCUCAAAAUAGAGAUCUAUUCCACCAAUCUUAAAAUAAUAUUUAAAAUAUUUAAAUUUAAAUAUUUAAAUUAAAUAUUUAGCUGAUUAGCAAUAUUCUGUGCAGUCCCAUCAUUUAGUAAAAUUGUGUUGUGGUGUUUCCUAAUGCAUUGAGACUACAAUCCCAGAUAUUCUAAGGGAAGGGGUUCUGGGAACUUUAGAACUAACUCACCUGGAGGGCAGUAAAUUGGGGAAAACUCUUGUUGGCUGGAUGAAUCCUAUCUGAGAGAAGAAAAAGGAAAUUUUAAGAUAAGAACUAGUUCUUUUUUCAAGUGAAAUAAAAAAUGAGUCAAAUGAAUUGCUUGCAGUUCUUUGUUUGCUGCUAGUAAACAUGAUUUUAACCUGCAUGUUUCCUGAAUAUGUCAUAAAAGGUUGUUGAAAUUACUUUUGAAUGCAAGAUUAAAUCAAUCACUUUUAAAAUAAUUAAAAAACAGGUAUAAGUCAUUUUCAUGUACCUAUUUGUAAUUCAGCAUUAUGGCAAAACUGUAGAGCAAACAAUGCCUUAUGGGAACAGGAAUGGCACUUCCUGUUCUUACCACUACCUUACUUCCUGGAGACUCAUAGAAUUACACAGGAGCAGUGCAGAAUUUUGUUCUUGAGCUAAUUUGGUUUUCUUAGUGUGCACUGCUUUCCCUUCUGACCAACUCUUUCCCACCAGCUUUAAUAUGUAGAAUCUGAACUUUGGUGCUUCCAGACAAACACAAUCUACCAUUACUUGAUAGAAACUUAGUAUGCAGGUCCCUUUUAAAUUUCCAUAGGAAAACAUGGAAAGAUUACAGAUGGAAGAGAUGUUUGUCAGGAGCUAUAAUAAAGCCUUGUCUGGAUGCACUUUCAGUGAUGUAUUUUAUUUUUCUAUCAGUUGUUACUGCAGGGUCAGAAAGCAUUGCAGAGGCUGAAAACUAUAUCAAUGAAGUUAUGUUAAAUAUGUCCUAAAAUAAAAGGGGAGAAAUCCUUACCCAAGAGAAAGAAGACAUAGACCUGCUUCUAAGAACAAAGUUUAUGGAAGCACUUCACAUGAAAACAUUUAGGACCUUUUUUAAAAAUAUAUUUUUAUGCUAAACGAAUUAACAAAAAUGCAUCAAUAAUGCCAGCACUUAAUGCAAUAUCAGAAUUUAAAUAAAAGAUGUAACAUAUGAUGCCAUAUAUUUUAGCCGAAAUACUUAGCAACUGAAUGCUUAGCAACUGAAACCUGGUAAAUUGAACUACCUACAAUUAUUUGCUCCUUCUAACUUUACAGUUCAAAUACUUUUUGCUUAUGAUUGUAAUAUAGUAUUUAAUGAAAUAUUAACAUCAAAAUAUGAAUACAAUUAAGGAGAGGGAUUACAAUUCAAUUCAAUUCUACUACAAAACUGUUAUAUUCUGCCUUUGCCAAAGACUGAGAUAUUUUAUUUAUUCCUUCAGAAUGCUAUGAACAAAACAGCUUCCAAAUCAGCAGCUUGAAGCGCCUAAGACUGCAUUCUUGAAGCGCCUAAGACUGCCUAAGCGCUUAUCUGUGAAAGAGUCUCAAUGAACAAGUGUAAAGGUUCCUCUUCUCUGUGUAAUACCUUACCUUCAAAGGUGAGGAUGGCCUUCACUCUUACAACCUUCCAGAAAGUCAUAAAUAAAUUCUGGAGCAUUUUGGGGGGUUGAUUCCAAAGCUGUUGAUGUAAGAUUUAGUUUUUACUAUAUUUGUUUACUGUUUAUAUUUUUAUAUUAUAUUAUUAUUGUAUUUUAAUACAUAUUCUGUAAGGUGCCUAGAGUCCAAUUUCACUGAGGGGUGUAUAAAUCUAAUAAAUAAAUGCACUAAACACAUAAGAGAGACUUCCUGAGAUCUCAUAGGAUUUUUGCAAAGUGUGUCCCACCUGAUCAGGCCCAUCUGAUAUUGGCUACAUCGGCUGUAGUGUGAGACUCUUAUAUAGAGUCCAGCAUUUGUAGAUUCCAUCCAUGCAGUUAUUGCCUUUAAAAUUUUAGGGGUAGAGAUUACAUGAAUCACUCAUUAGAUUCUACAUUUUCUUCUUCCAACAUUAUAUCCACAUAGAGGAUAUAACAUAGGUGGCAAACAGGAUGACAGGUAAAUUUGUCCUCCUUUAUGGCUCACACCAUUUACAGGCCUGGAAAAUAAAUGUAGCAGGGCCAUUCACAAACCUGAGAUUGUUACUCAUAUGUACAUUGGAAGACUUCCUAGAUUUUUACCACUUAUUUUCAGGUUUUAUAAUAUACUUUUUAGUAUAUCCAAGGCUGAUUUUGCUCUUUAGAGGCAGGUGUUAAGCACAUAAAAAUGAACAGAAUAACAAACCUUCAUUCAUACUGGGGGAGGGAAAGAUUGAGCUUUACAUUGUACUUAACUCAAAAACCUCUGUUAAUGCUAAAAUGGAAACAAUGGAUUGGAUUUAGGUGCAUAAAGGUUUCCUCUUGUUCUUUCAACCAAUCUCUCAAAAAUGCUCCCCACAGUCAGGUCCUUGAGGUUGACAGAAAAUGCCUCUCCCUGAUUUUCUAAACACCCUCACCAUUUGUUUCAUAGCAUCCACACCACAGUCUGCCCAAUCCAUUUGGAGAAUGAAUACCAGGGCAUCUCGUCCACUUGGUUGCAUAUAACGUAAACCUGAAUUCAAGCCCAGAAGUAUAAUUUUCAACAUAACAACUUGGCAUACAUGAGCAUUAUACAUAAAGUUUUGAAAUGUCUUAAUUACAUUCUAGAAAGCAACACAUUUUUCCUAAGGAUGCUAAUUGACUAGACUUUUUUUUAACUAAGAGGUCCUAGAAUAUUUAUAUUGGUGAGUGUACAAUGGGAAAAUACAAUUUUAUAUUGUACUUCAGACCUUUCAAAUCUUACAUUGAAUAAACAUUUUUUUUGUCUUCAAAUUGAAUAUAGAUUUUUGUCUCCAAAUCAAGUAGCCUAAAAUGUGAUAACCACAGAAGUAUUUUGAGAAAUGCUUUUUUUAAUUUUAUAAUAGAACAAUUACAAAUAUACAUUGUAACUUUUUAAUAUACAAAAUCUAAGAAUACUUUCUUAAAAUGUAAAAAAAUGAAAUUGAUACAGCAGUUGAAUUUUUGUUGUAUAACUUUAAAACUUUGUAUUUUGUAAAUUAUAAUUUAUUUUUUUAAGCUAGAAUAUUAAAUAGCAUAUUUGCUUUAAAGGCUGACAACUAUUAUUAUUUUUUUAAAAAAAGAUCUGUUAAUGUAUAAGAAAAACUAAGUUUACCUUUCUUCCAAAAUUUGUCUUGCAAUUUUGCCCAGGUAAAUGCUAUUUCUUGUUCUCCCUUCAUAUGUUUCCAGGAGUUACAUCCUCGUAAAUAAAUAAGAUAGAAUUUAGAAGACUGUACUU